UGGGAAAUAAGGCACAUACGUUGCUCGAGAAAGAAAAGAGUACCUGCAUCUUCUACAGCUAGAGGGUUCUAGAAAGGUUUCUUGGAGUUUGCACUGAAGAAGACGUGGACAUAGUUUCUGAACUGUCUUGUGUCU